rnacentral:rRNA from 2 species
GGUUAAGCGACUAAGCGUACACGGUGGAUGCCCUGGCAGUCAGAGGCGAUGAAGGGCGUGCUAAUCUGCGAUAAGCGCCGGUAAGGUGAUAUGAACCGUUAUAACCGGCGAUACCCGAAUGGGGAAACCCAGUGUGAUUCGUCACACUAUCAUUAACUGAAUCCAUAGGUUAAUGAGGCGAACCGGGGGAACUGAAACAUCUAAGUACCCCGAGGAAAAGAAAUCAACCGAGAUUCCCCCAGUAGCGGCGAGCGAACGGGGAGGAGCCCAGAGCCUGAAUCAGCAUGUGUGUUAGUGGAAGCGUCUGGAAAGGCGCGCGAUACAGGGUGACAGCCCCGUACACAAAAGCGCAUGUGCUGUGAGCUCGAUGAGUAGGGCGGGACACGUGGUAUCCUGUCUGAAUAUGGGGGGACCAUCCUCCAAGGCUAAAUACUCCUGACUGACCGAUAGUGAACCAGUACCGUGAGGGAAAGGCGAAAAGAACCCCGGCGAGGGGAGUGAAAAAGAACCUGAAACCGUGUACGUACAAGCAGUGGGAGCACCCUUCGGGG